UACGUAGGGGGCUAGCGUUGUCCGGAAUCAUUGGGCGUAAAGCGCGCGUAGGCGGCCAGAUAAGUCCGGUGUGAAAGUCACAGGCUCAACCUGUGAAUGCCGCUGGAAACUGUCUGGCUAGAGUCCGGAAGGGGCGAGUGGAAUUCCUGGUGUAGCGGUGAAAUGCGCAGAUAUCUGGAGGAACACCGGUGGCGAAGGCGGCAUCCUGGACCGGUAUUGACGCUGAGGCGCGAAAGCCAGGGGAGCAAAGCGGG
rnacentral:rRNA from 1 species